rnacentral:rRNA from 1 species
UGGGGAAUCUUCCGCAAUGGACGAAAGUCUGACGGAGCAACGCCGCGUGAGUGAUGACGGCCUUCGGGUUGUAAAGCUCUGUUAAUCGGGACGAAUGGUUCUUGUGCAAAUAGUGCGAGGAUUUGACGGUACCGGAAUAGAAAGCCACGGCUAACUACGUGCCAGCAGCCGAGGUAAUACGUAGGUGGCAAGCGUUGUCCGGAAUUAUUGGGCGUAAAGCGCGCGCAGGCGUAUUGGUCAGUCUGUCUUAAAAGUUCGGGGCUUAACCCCGUGAUGGGAUGGAAACUGCCAAUCUAGAGUAUCGGAGAGGAAAGUGGAAUUCCUAGUGUAGCGGUGAAAUGCGUAGAUAUUAGGAAGAACACCAGUGGCGAAGGCGACUUUCUGGACGAAAACUGACGCUGAGGCGCGAAAGCCAGGGGAGCGAACGGG